UGCAAGCCAGUAGGAAGAAGCCGCUGAACUCCUUGCCAGCCAGUAGGAGGAAGCCACUUGCCCUCACCAGCGAUCCUCCGUGAGGAAGGCAGAGUCUGUAGGACGGGGUCAGGGGUGCCUCGCUCCUGGCACCCGCAUGGACCGGAACUCAGAACAGCUCAUGGGCCCAGAAAUGGCAGUGAGGGGCUCAGCACUUUCACAGAUGACAUCCGGCAGCUGGGGACCCCCUACAGUGGCCAAACUGUGGGACGCCUAUGACCUUAAAAAAAAAAAAAAAAGUGUUAAAAAGAAAACCACAGGCCCCAAAUGGCAUCACUUAGGCCAAGCCGCCAAAUCGGGGCGGAUCACCUAACCAAACUGCGAUUUCAGCGUCCCGCAGAAAGGUCAGGAAAUGUCUGGUCGCCAGGGAGGUGAUCUGUCACACGGGCCCUCGCCAUCUCCCAAAGGAAGAUGAGAUCUGAAUAUUAAAUAUCAAAGGCAUGCGACGGAGUGGCACAACACAAACAAGUCUGUGGAGCGAGACCGACACUCAGAGAAAGGAGCCAGCUGCCAUGUGAAAUGCCCAACUACACGGAGAUCGACGUGCUGUGAAGCAGCCGGAGCCAGCAGUGUGGACAGAUCAUAGGGAGGAGAGCCAAGACACCUGGCUGGUGCCCCCAGCCCGUCAGCCAACGGAAUGCAGACACACAAACAGCUCCAGUGUUUUAGGUAACAAGCAAAAACUGGAAACAAGCCGGAUGUUCAUCACGAGAGGAAGGGACAAGCAGCUGACGGCGCGUCCAUAUAAUAGAACAGUGCUCCGCAGAGACCUGAGGCACACUAUUGGUACGUGCAACAGCAUGGCUGGAUCCCCGAAUGAACAUGCCGAGUAAAAGAAGUUGGACACGCACAGAAAGAGCACUUCACGUGUAGAUUUCAUUUGCCUAAAAUGCUAGAGACUGCAAAUUAAUCUCUAAUGACAGCAAGCAGAUCAGCGAUUGCCUGGUGUGAGGGG